rnacentral:misc_RNA from 1 species
CUAAGGAAACAAUUAUCAUCUUCAGUUUUGAGAGACUUAAGAAAGUUUUUCAUUGUAACUUGCUUGCAAAUUGUAUUUUCAACAUUUAAAUCUUUUUAAGAUUAAGGGCCUAUAGCUCGCUCAGUUGGUUAGAGCACAUGCCUGAUAAGCGUGAGGUCGGUGGUUCAAGUCCAUUUAGGCCACCAUAACCACAAAUAGGCAAAAUCUUAAAAAAGCUCUUUGAAAAGUAGAUAAACGAAGGUUAAAAAAUCAAA